rnacentral:lncRNA from 1 species
UACUUUAGUCGGAAAGAACUAUAAAUUUUUAUUAGAAAAAAUUUUAAAUAUCAUUUAUGUGGUUUCACAUUUUUUUAUUUUAAUAUUCUGUGGUUUAAAAUUAAUGUAUUACUUUCGUACUCUGUGAUUUUAUUUUUCUCUUUUUGUUAUUUCCUUCACUAAUUUUUUUUUAAAUCAAUGACAAAGUUAAAACUAAAGAGUACUAAAGUGAAUAUUUGAUAAAUUAUAGAUGGGGUAUCUAAAUUUUUUGUAUAUGUUUUAAUAAAAAGUUAACGAAGGAGCAGGCAAAAAAAGAAAAAUGCAACCGUAGGGUAGUAAAUUAUACACUUUAAACUAGAGUAGGGUUAUAAUACUUUUACAAGUAUCACCCAAGUGAUACUUGUGUGUUUUUAGCCAUUGGAUCUACUUUUUGAUUACUAAUAGUCCUUGGAUCAAACACUAUUCCACCUACCACCACCUACCACCACCUAUCACCAUCAUCUUAACCUCACAUCUCUCCAUCCAAGGGCUAAAAACACACAAGUAUCACUUGGGUGAUACUUUUACAAGUAUUCUAGCUCUACUCCUUUAAACUAUAGGGUAUAAAAAUGAGAAAGUGCAAAAUUAUAUGGGUGGUAUUUGAAAUUUACCUGUUUAUUAAUAAUCAACAACC